rnacentral:lncRNA from 1 species
AAAAAAAAAAAAAACAAAGAUUGGAAUGUGAGAAGAACUGAGGGGGGAAACCACUUUUAAUUAAGUGGAAGUGCUUUGUGCUUGUGCUGAAGUUACCUGGGUCUCCUGUAGCCCUGGACAUCACUGGAGUGGCCCCGCCCUGCCCGUCCCUGCCCUUCUUUUAUGCUGAUGCUGAUGGGCUAUGUCCUGCUUCAGGAUCCAUGUAAGGGACUGACCAGGUUCAUCCAACCUUAACUGGUUCCUGCUCUCCUGGAUUAAGCCACUUUUAGGUCUCCCACCAGGGGUCCUAUUGUGCUGUCUUCCUGUGGCCAGCAGACCCUGUAAGGGGGUGAUCCUAAUCCCGGGGCCCUUUGCAGCAAGAGGAGAACAUCCCUUUUCUUGAACAAGGUGGCCAGUUCCCUGGGAGAAAGCUGGGAAUGGCACGUCCAGCCGGGGCAGGCGUUGCGACAUCCUUCUCCUGGGAUUUCUGUGGCCUCCCCUGUUCUAUUCAUUAUUUGGCUUCCCAACCAUAAGCUCUGGGAUACCCAGGGCUUGCUUCCCAGCUCAUCUCAUCUCUAAGCCUUUGCUCCCCUUCCCACCACCACUGCUAUGUAAAAUGGCCAUGCUAACUCCUACAGAACUAGGAGCCUCAGCAGGAUUGCUAGGAUGUGGGUGCCUUCCUGCAUUCUUGCUUCUGCAGCUGUGUGGCCUUCCCACAGCCCUCCCACCACUUUCCCUUCUACCUUGCCGUCCAUUGUCUUCCUUCUCCCAGAAAGCCAGGUUUCAACACGUGCUCACCACUAGCUCUCUCCCCUCCCUCGUGGGGGUUGCUGCAGCAAGGCACCUGCAGGCCCUGGUAGAGUGAGCAGGGCUUAUGUGUACGUUCUUUACGUGUACAUCUCCAAGGAUGUGAUGUCUGACUGUGAUGUCAGAGAGGAGGUCUCAGGACUAGCAUUUGGGGUCCUGUGAGUUUUCCCAGAAUGGUUUGGGGUAUCACACAAAACACCAGAGCUGAGGAUAGGGGUAGAGUCCCCAAACACACAUCCUGGGAGCAAGCCACUUCAUCUGAGUUUCCCAUACCAGGAACAUGAUUUGUGCUUUGGUGGAAAACUUAGCAAGUCCCUGCACUCUGGGGCUUCUCCUCUUCUAGAGCCCAGGGCAGCUCUGGCCCGAUGAUAUGGCAGCCAUAGGUACAGGUAUUGCAGGUGCAGUCUUUCUUAAGUACCCUGCCUCCAGUCUAUAGCCCAGCUGCUGCUAGAGUCCAGGACCUUAGACCCAGGAUGAGCAAAAGGACUCCACCAGGUUGUCCAGGACCAUUGCCAGGGUGACCCCAGAGUCCUUCAGACUUCUGUCUGAUACUGAACACAGUGCCACAGGACCCUGCUCCAAUCUAACUGCCUACAACCCACCCAUCCCCUGCUGCAGGGGUGACGCUGCUACCUCGGGAGGCUCUCUUGAGAGUGGUGUCUGGUCUUAGAUGCUGCAGAUAGUACCUGGUGCUAGGGUCUAGGUGCUGCCCAAAGCCCAGCAGGAUCAGCUACUACUCAUCCUGCAGAGGCCUUGGCCCAGACCAGCUCUUCCAUCCAAAGCCUCACCUGGUUUCCGUGUUCAUCUCAACAGUCUGGCCUUCCUGUGACUGCAGCCUGGCAGCCACACCCCCAGUAAUCCCACACAGUGAGUCCAGCUUCUCUGGGAGCUUGGCCUUCAGUUAGCCCAGUCCGUGAGAGGGCAGGGUAAUGAGGAGGAGUAAAGGACCUAUCUUCUCUGUCCACAUAAGGAAUUUGGGACCACAGGGUCUUUUAUCUCCUUGUUACUCCCCAACCCCAUCAUAACCUCCUACUCAGCACACAGCUUUAUCCUGGUAGAUUAUAAGGUGAGCUUCCAGAACCUGGCAGGAGGCUGGUGUAUCCCCCUGCACGGAGGGAGGUGUAUCUGAAUGUUGUGUAUGUGGCUGAUAUGGAAGACAUACAUGUAUGCAAUCAAUCAGCCUUUAAAGAGGACUGGCUGCAGUUCGGAGGAGGAGGAGGAAGAUUACAGAUCUAUUCUGAGUAUUUUUUAGAGAGUUAAUAUUUAUAUUUUUAGUAAUUUUCUGGUAGAAGGAAAUUGCACAAUAAAAUGAUUUGGUUUGGU